CAGCUACCUUCGAAUUCAUGCCGGACUCCAAUCUUGGCAACGGAUCUCGAGCGAUGGGAUUGAGCCCCCAAUCCUGACAAGACCCAUUGGCAUGGCUUCAUUUAUUCGUUGCAACGCAUUCAAGUUUGCUGUUGAUUAACAGGUGGAUGAAGAAGGCAAUUCUUGCAUUUUAUAGAGUCCCGAGCAGUCACAUGGCAAUGAUCGCCAAGCCUCUCAUAACAUGGAGCCACCUCAGAAUUGCACCAAAGGCAACCCUGUCGGCAACCCUGUCGUGACGAUGACACCUAAUGUGCCGCUCUUCGUGCAGAUUGCCGCUGGAUGCCUUGUUCUCACUUCGGCCUCGUGAACAACGAUUUCGACAAGCGACGGAUGCUGCUGGCGUGGCGCUGAAUUGGGAACUCCGUUGCCGCUUCGUUUCGACAACGUUUUCGGUACCUUUUCUACGCCCCCAACAAUCUCAGCUGCUGCACAUGUGCAUGAUGCCUACGGAGGAUCGCGCAAAGCUACGAUGACGUCACUCACCGAUAAGUGGAUCGCCUCGCCGUUGGGUUUAAAAGGACUACCAGUGCCUGCUUUCUUCAGUGGACACGGCAGCACUGUCGUGACGAUGACACCUAAUGUGCCGCUCUUCGUGCAGAGCUAAAACAAAAUGUCUUUUAUUUCAAUUUGAUCUUUUGACCUAGGAAGCCAUUAUCUGGUGCUGUGUACAGCAAGCACAUGCUUCGGGCAAGGAGGGAGGGAGCCAGCACCAUAUCUACAUAAGCAAGAACAUCAGUGCUGAAAAUAAACAUUUUCUGUUUA